GGUUAUAGCUCAGUUUGUAGAGCACUCGCCUAGCAUGUGUGAGGCACUGGGUUCGAUCCUCAGCACCA
rnacentral:tRNA from 1 species